GUUAUCAUCAAGAAGGAGUUGUAGUGACGAAUCAUCGUCAUUUAAACAUAUAAACUUGUAGAAUGUUCAUUCCAAUAUGAAAACGUCGUUAGGAUGGCUGAAGUGACAGUGAUAGUCGUGUUCCAAAUGUUAUUGUCGCUACUUGCGAUUUGUGAGUGCUUGCCCUUGACACUACCUAACUCAAGUGCCAGGAGAGCUCCGCCGGGGCCUGUCAUCGGCGAAGACUUUCCAUCAAUACAAUUACCUAAACUUGCCAACUACUAUACAGAAUUAUUAAAAAGGAAUAUGAGAGACAUUGAAACGCAAACGUCAGAAAGUUCUAAAAACUUUGAAGAUGACCAAAAUUCAAUAGUUUCGUGGAAUGAUUUUUUGACAUUUUUAAAUCUGAACUUACCUAAUAUUAAACACAAGCGAAAACUAUCUCAGGAAAAACGAUUAAAACAAAACAGCGAAAAAUUAAACGCUUUAGUGGCUUCAGAUUCUCGCGUUUUACCUUAUAAAUCUAAUAUAAACCACAAGUCUACUCAAAGUGACACUCAAAGUAUGGAUUCUAUUCCAUCGGACUUUACAAAGGACGUUCCUUCUACAAACAGCAGUGGUGCCCUAUUGCACAAACAUCCUCGAACUAAACGGAGUCUUUUCAGCCGUUUCCCUAACUUUAUGUAUAGUCCACCUUUAGAACUCGACUUUACCUACACGCACGUGGUAGCAUGUUUGCAUUCAGACAGGUAUUAUUGUUUGAAUGGGGGACGAUGUGUUUAUGUUGGGGCUUUGGACAUCAAAACGUGCAGGUGCCCCGUCGGAUAUACUGGAUUAAGAUGUGAAAUGAUAGAUAAAGAUUACUUACUGGCGUUAUUAACAAACGCUAUAAUCAUCAGCUGAAACAAUGGCGACUAUACAACUACAUUUAACAUAAGGACCAGACAUACAUGUAUGAUGACGUUACCAAAAUGAGGGUGUUUUGUGACCAGCUUAUGAUGACGUCACCAACACAGAGAAACGAAGUGGAGUAGAGAUGCAUGCUGCGUGACGAUGUGUAAAACGGAAAGUGAAACGAAAUUCCACUUAAUAAAAAGACCCCCGAAAACAAGAAUUCAAAAAGUAUAUAUAUUGAACAAUUAAACAACAGCACCCCUCGGCUUUAAUCAGCUUCAUGCAAACAUUUAAUUUACCUGUGAACAUGGUGCGUUUGACCAACUAAAUUCAAGAUAUGAAUUUAUGGAAUGUUUUUGACCAAUGACCCAGUCAAUAAUGUGAUUUCCGAUUGACGGAGGAAAAUGAGACAUACUUUCUUCGCGCAUGAUCUGUUGAUAUAGACAAUUACUUAGACAUAGUAAGGAACGACGACGUUACGGAACAUGCGCAAAAAGGACGGGUGAAUUUCGGAUGUACCAUAAAAAUGUCAGUGCAAUGUAAACUUUUAAUUAGUUUACAUAUUAUUAACAUAACUACAAUGAAAAGGAGGUGGCGCGGAUAUAAGGUACAUCCGGGUAUUAAGAAUGGCAGGUAGUAUUUGAUAGUUAGCAGAAUGAUAUCGACAAUCCCUGAGUAGGGAGAGAUAGAUCAAAAGACAUAGUUUUUGUUUUCAUCUCCUUAUUUUAUAUAACUUCAUUUUUUUUUU